UUCCGGUUGAUCCCGCCGGAGGUCACUGCUAUUGGGAUCCGGCUAAGCCAUGCAGGCGGAGGGCGCGGUCGAAAGAUCGUGGCCCCGCACACUGCUCAGUAACACGUAGUCAACCUACCCUUGGGACGGGGACAACCUCGGGGAACUGAGGCUAAUCCCCGAUAGGUGAGGGACGCUGGGAUGCCUCCUCGCCCAAAGCUCCGGCGCCCAAGGAUGGGACUGCGGCCUAUCAGGCUGUUGGUGGUGUAACGGACCACCAAACCUACGACGGGUACGGGCGAUGGGAGUCGGAGCCCGGAGAUGGGGACUGAGACAAGGCCCCAGGCCCUACGGGGCGCAGCAGGCGCGAAAACUCCGCAAUGCGCGCAAGCGUGACGGGGGGAUCCCAAGUGCCGUUGGUCUUUGAUCGACGGUUUUUCGGAAGUCUAAGAAGCUUCCGGAAUAAGGGCUGGGUAAGACUGGUGCCAGCCGCCGCGGUAACACCAGCAGCCCAAGUGGUGACCACGAUUAUUGGGCCUAAAGCGCUCGUAGCCGGAUCAGCAAGUCCCUUGUGAAAUCGGGCCGCCCAACGGUUCGGCGUGCAAGGGAUACUGUUGGUCUUGAGGCCGGGAGAGGUCGGAGGUACUCCUGGGGUAGCGGUGAAAUGCUCUAAUCCUAGGGGGACCACCAGUGGCGAAGGCGUCCGACCAGAACGGACCUGACGGUGAGGGGCGAAGGCUAGGGGAGCGAACGGGAUUAGAUACCCCGGUAGUCCUAGCUGUAAAGCAUGCGGGCCAGGUGUCUAGCGCUCCUCGAGGGCGCUAGGUGCCGGAGGGAAGCCGUUAAGCCCGCCGCCUGGGAAGUACGGCCGCAAGGCUGAAACUUAAAGAAAUUGGCGGGGGAGCACCACAAGAGGUGGGACCUGCGGUUCAAUUGGAUUCAACGCCGGA
rnacentral:rRNA from 1 species